rnacentral:rRNA from 1 species
CCUACGGGUGGCAGCAGUGGGGAAUAUUGCACAAUGGGCGAAAGCCUGAUGCAGCAACGCCGCGUGAGCGAUGAAGGCCUUCGGGUCGUAAAGCUCUGUCCUCAAGGGAGCUAAUGACGGUACUUGAGGAGGAAGCCCCGGCACACUACGGGCCAGCAGCCGCGGUAAUACGUAGGGGGCUCGCGUUAUACGGAAUUACUGGGCGUAAAGGGGGCGUAGGUGGUUUAUUAAGUCAGAGGUGAAAGGCUAGGGCUCAACCCUAGUAAGCCUUUGAAACUGGGAAACUUGAGUGCAGGAGAGGAGAGUGGAAUUCCUGGUGUAGCGGUGAAAUGCGUAGAUAUUAGGAAGAACACCAGUUGCGAAGGCGGCACUCUGGACUGUAACUGACACUGAGGCACGAAAGCGUGGGGAGCAAACAGGAUUAGAUACCCUUGUAGUC